GCCGAGAGAAAAGAAAGUAAAAGAAAUAAAAAAAGAGAGAAAAAGGGGGGAAAGAGAAUAGUUUGUGUUAUUUUUGGAAGAAUGGGAGGUGAAGGCUUUCAUUUGAAGAUGGAAGGACAUCCGGCCACCAUGCGCGGCUGAACACCUAGUCUAGGGCUGGAUGAAGCCCUAGCAAUGUAUCAGGGCAUUGUAGUUCUUAUUUUUAUUAUUAUUUUGGAGCUUGUUUAAAUUCUUAUUUUCAAUGAAAUAUUCCUUUAUGAUAUUUAAACUUUGAGCAUGCUAGUUACUAAUCAUGUUUGCUAAAGUAGUCUAAGAUGAUUCAUGCCUAGGAAGAUGAAGUGUGCUGCAUCCUAGAUUAGCAUACUUAGGUAGACACUUCAUGCUACACCGAAGAUGGAUCUUCCUAACACUCUUUAUGUUUUUAUUUUAGAAGGCUUGUAGCCAAUUUGCAUGCCUUUCCAAAAGAUAAAAAUUAAGAACACAGUCCCUAAUGCAAUGCUACGCGGUGGAUUCCAAACCCUAGAUCUAUCUACUUUGAUAAAUUUCAAUUCGUAUUCAUAGAUUAAUUUAGUUAAAUCAAGUUAGCAAAUCCUUCUUCUUGAUUUAUUUUUAAAAGAAAAAUAACUUAUUCUUCAAUCCCUGUGGACCGACACCCGUAAUCACUAUCCUACAGGAUACGUGCUAUUGCGAGGUUUACUUUUGAAAUUGAAAGAACCGAUCAAUUUUUGGCGCCGUUGCCGGAGAUUGCUUGCAUAGUUAU
rnacentral:lncRNA from 1 species